UACGUAGGGGGCAAGCGUUAUCCGGAAUUAUUGGGCGUAAAGGGUGCGUAGGUGGCACAUUAAGUCUAAGGUUAAAGUGCGGGGCUCAACCCCGUGAUGCCUUAGAAACUGAUGAGCUUGAGUGUAGUAGAGGCAAGUGGAAUUCCAUGUGUAGCGGUAAUAUGCGUAAAUAUAUGGAGGAACACCAGUGGCGAAGGCGGCUUGCUGGGCUAUAACUGACACUGAUGCACGAAAGCGUGGGGAGCAAACAGG
rnacentral:rRNA from 1 species